rnacentral:rRNA from 1 species
UACGAAGGCAGCAGUGGGGAAUAUUGCACAAUGGGCGAAAGCCUGAUGCAGCUAUGCCGCGUGUAUGAAGAAGGCCUUAGGGUUGUAAAGUACUUUCAUCGGGGAGGAAAAACAAAACUAAUAAUUUUAUUUCUUGACGUUACCCGAAAAAGAAGCACCGGCUAACUCCGUGCCAGCAGCCGCGGUAAUACGGAGGGUGCUAGCGUUAAUCAGAAUUACUGGGCGUAAAGAGCACGUAGGUGGUUUUUUUAAGUCAGAUGUGAAAUCCCUGGGCUUAACCUAGGAACUGCAUUUUGAAACUGAAAUACUAGAGUAUCGUAGAGGGAGGUAGAAUUCUAGGUGUAGCGGUGAAAUGCGUAGAUAUCUGGAGGAAUACCUGUGGCGAAAGCGGCCUCCUAAACGAAUACUGACACUGAGGGUGCGAAAGCGUGGGGAGCAAACAGGGAUUAGAUACC